rnacentral:rRNA from 1 species
UACGUAGGUGGCAAGCGUUGUUCGGAUUUACUGGGCGUAAAGGGCGCGUAGGCGGCGUGGUAAGUCACUUGUGAAAUCUCUGAGCUUAACUCAGAACGGCCAAGUGAUACUGCUGUGCUAGAGUGCAGAAGGGGCAAUCGGAAUUCUUGGUGUAGCGGUGAAAUGCGUAGAUAUCAAGAGGAACACCUGAGGUGAAGACGGGUUGCUGGGCUGACACUGACGCUGAGGCGCGAAAGCCAGGGGAGCAAACGGG